UGCCAGAUUUGCAUAUAAAACUCCGUAAUUAGAACUGUGUGUUAACAAGCAGGUAUGGACGGGUAAUUAAUUCCUGCUAAAAAAAUAUAAGAACGAAAUCAGGCAACUGAUCAACCAGUUCCUUCUCAAGAUGUUCAAAAGUGUGAGCUUUCUUCUGCUGAUUCUUGCGCUUGGUAGUCUGGAUGCUAAGAUAACUUUGCCUCCAGAGCUUCAAGAAUAUGUGGACGAUUUACAUAAGCUGUGCCUGGAAAAGGGUGGACUGACCGAAAGUGAGUAAUUUUUGUGCUAAUUUACGCACAAAUUGUAGUUAACAUUUCGACUUUCAUCAGCACGUUGCAAGCAGAAAUUCGAACAAAACAAAUUUUUGAUUGCCUUGUUUUGUUCACUCGCCACUGAUUGCUUCCUCAAAAGCCCACAGUUUUUCCUAAAACUCACUUUCCUGAAAAUUAAAAUCGGCUAAAAAAGUUAUCGCGCCUUAAAGCAGUAAAAAUGCUUUUUUGAGCCUAAAAAAGUUAAGUUUUCGUUGAGUAGUACAUAUGUGUCUUAGCCUAGCUUAUUCUAAAAUUAAGUCCUAUUCCUAACACUGGUAUAAUUCAAUCAGUGA